GAUCGGGCCGGUGUUCGAUCGAGCCUGUGUCCGAUCGGGAAAUUUUAUCGUGUCCGAUCGGUAAUGUGCGCAAUCGAGACUUAUUCAGUCAAGCCUGAAGCGGGGAGCACACACUUUUGCAUAAGCGCAUAACCAUAAGUAUAAGGAAAUUGAUUGGUUCAUUUUCUUAUGCAUACAUUUGUGGACCAAUCAAUUUCUUUAUGUUUAUGGUUAUGCGCUUAUGCAAAAGUGUGUGUUCCCUGCUUGAGAAUCCAUAUGUGAACAAUUAUCGCCGUGAGGACUGUAAAGCAAACAUAUGUAAAUAAAUUAGCAGAGUCAAGUCAAACCUUGCCCAAUAUGAAUUCUACAUAUAUUAUUGCGAUCUCAAAUAAUCAUAAUAUUGUCAUCCGUGAUUUGGGUAAUAUUAUGAAGAUGGACCGCAAAGGAUCUCCCGGAAAGGAGACAAAGAAGAAUUCCCAUUUGAGAUAGUAUGUCGGUGUAAAUAGAUUUAAUUAUUGAGACUUUACAGUUUAAUCAUUGUUAAUUUACUUUGACAGGUUUGUAUCUAAUCAUUUAAAAUUUCUAAUUGAGAUAUAUUUUAAUUGAGAGGCAGAUUAUGUUUACUAUAUGAAUUAUUAAGGUGGGUGAUCAUAGGCAAGUCAGAAGAUGGAUGAGGGUGAUUGACAUAGCUAACAUUUUAAGCCAAUCAUCUUUGGAAGGUAGAGAUUCGUCUAGAUUAGGAAAGUUAUUUUUUUGCUUUCACCAUUAGGGUAGGAUUAAGAAAGCUGAAUUCGUGUUUCUGUUAACAGUCUCCGCAUGUGAUUUGGGAAUUGCAUACAAAACAUAAUCUUCUAGGGUGAAAGAGGGACUCUAUUGGAGAGAUAUGAAGAGAAAUGAGACCCGCAGAGUACUGCUGGAGGUUGUUUUCCAGCCAUAAGAGGCUUCUGAAUGCGAGACAUUGUGGUAUGCCAUAAUUUUUUUAUCUUUCUCUGUUUUUGAAAGAUCGGACAGAAAUUACAGGAGGCUUCAUGCUCCGCAGCAGAGUCUGGCAAUUUAUGUCUUUUGCAGUUUAUACACGACGGUUUUUCAGCUGUGUAUGGCUCUAACCUUACUGUGAAAAAAUACGAGCUUGCCAGCGUUAACUGCAUUUAGUUAAACUGCAUUCCUGUCCAGAAUUCGACAAAUCCUAGCAAUAUGGCCGAAUCUUUGACAUUUUUGGCAUCUCCUAACCUUUUCAAUAAAGGGAACAAGAUAGAGCCUUUUCCCCAUAUAGAUGAUACUAGGCAGUAUAGUGAUAGUCCUAAAACGAAUUAUGCAUCAAAAGGGGGCUGCCACAAGAUAUUCCAGUCCGGAGGAGGGCGGAUAUUCUUGAUAAUUUUCUCAGGGGUAUUGGGUACGGAUGAUAUCCAUUUAUCUCUAGGAAAGAUAAUAUUAGAUUUCUCAUUGAAGAUAUUACAAAACUUAUUUGCAGAGUUACUGUCAACAAAGGUGACCGUGAAUUUAUUCCUCCCUAUUGUUUUGAGGUCAUAGGCAGACAAGAAAUUCUCAAUAUAUUUGGUGAUACAGUUUUCGAAUGCUAUAAUACCGUAGGUGCCCAAAUUGGAUCUUUGACUUAGAGGAAAUAAGAGAAAAGAAUCAGAGAAAAUAAAAUCAAGAUCGUUAAUACCUAUGUUUGUGUUGUUGUUUGUUUUCUUGGACCUCAGAGUUUUGCACCUGAGUAAAGGAAGAAGGAUUGCAUGAGAUUUUUUCAAUAUGGACAAUGAAUGGGGAUUUAAUGUUUAAACUGUAUUUGUUUUGUAGUCGAGAGUCUUUUUUUUGGAGAGAAUCCAGUGAAGAUCUUUUAGGAGGCAGCGGACUUCUCAAUGCAGAAGACAGGCUCCUUUUGCGAUUCCUAUAGAUAAUUCCUAUAGAUAAUCUCUUGAACUUUUUCCGCAAUAUCCCCACUGUUACCAUAUUCAUCAUUAGACAAAUUUGAAGCAAUGUCUUGGAUGCGCUCUCAGGAGCUCCGACAGAUGAGAAAUCCAUAAUUAGGAACGAUUGCACGUUUUGCGCAAAAGACGUAAAAAUGAUACGUAAUAUGUGUUCAGGAAGGACAAUAUGGUCCAGACCACACUUACGUGGCGACGUAUAGAAUGGCACAAGGGGCCGAUAAAAGUAGAUUAUGCCGCACACAGGCAGCAAGCAGAGAUGAAACACUUUGGAUAGAACGAUGUUGGAGUUCAACUCAAAACUCGCGAAAUUAUUCGAUGAUGCAAACACCAAAGAAUCAACAACUCGGAGACGAAGUUCAUUCACUGGGGAAUAAACGGAAGUCCAAAUGUCAGUCUCUAAACCGCCCUCAGAUAAAAGAUAUAAUAGAGGGCGGGUGUCAGCUAAAAGAAUAUCAGUCAAUUAAAAAGAGAUGAAGUCUAAAGACCUAACUGUCCUUAUCUGUUAACGCAUGAGAGCGUACAAAGUCCGGACAUUAGCAUAGUAAAAACUAUUAUAAAGUUAUAUUUAAAAAAAAUUAAUACAGAUUUUUAAAAACCUAAUAAAUGUUUUGUUAUAACAGAAAAUUAAAUAAAAUUUAUUAAAAAACGUAUUUUGCAAUAUAUAAGUAGAUAAAAAUU